CUCUCCAUUAUUUGCUUAAUUGCGGUUUGCUGUUUGGCCUGGGUGUGAUCGUGUUUGUUUUCCUUUUAUGGUUUGUUUCGGUGGACGCGACCUUUUUUCUUUCUCUUCCUUUUUGCCUCAGCUCUGCGUUCUUGGGAGAGAGUUGCAGAGAAUAGGUUCUGCAUGUUGUGAUCGUGUUUGUUUUCUUUCCAUUUAGGGUUUGUUUGUUCCUUGCAUGUCACUGAUUUGGGUUUUCGGUGAUGCAGGAGUUCAUGUUAAUAACGAGAGGGAAGACGAAGAUUGAAAUUAGAUCGAGGAAAGCAGGAGAGUACUUUCUUUGGCGAUUUUGUUUUGUUGGCGAUUUCGGGUUUGUUGGAAACUCAGGAGGUGUUGGGCUCAUUGUCGCGAUCUUCUGUCUCUCUCUCUUUCUCUUCGUUUUUGGCUGGGUUCUUCGCAUGUAGAGGAUAUAUAUUUUCACACAACAGGUGGCCUUUAAAAGAUUAGGUACUUCCAGUACAAUAACACCAUUGCAGCUGGAAGGCUUGCUGACCGAAGGGAGCACAUCAAGACUUUGGUAAAAUGUUGCAUUUGGAAAAGGAAAAAAUGGACUGAAAUAUCAUGUCACUUUUUGUGUAAAUAGAAAUGGAGGCGGCAACUUUUUGGACAACCUCCACAGCUAAUCAUCACUAGGCUAACAACCUCUCAGCAACUGAUGUCAGUUUUGAUAUAGUCACUAGGUUAGCCUAUAAGUAGAUCACUGUAUUUUGAAGAAGCUGUUUUAACAGCAUUUGUAAUAUAUAUUUGAACAUUACCAGAACAUCUAUAUUAAUGGUAAUGUUAGCUCCUGAUAUAGAGCAUGAAUGGAUAUAUUUUUGAG